UUUGAACGCUGGCGGCAGGCUUAACACAUGCAAGUCGAGCGGGGGAAGGUAGCUUGCUACCGGACCUAGCGGCGGACGGGUGAGUAAUGCUUAGGAAUCUGCCUAUUAGUGGGGGACAACAUCUCGAAAGGGAUGCUAAUACCGCAUACGUCCUACGGGAGAAAGCAGGGGAUCACUUGUGACCUUGCGCUAAUAGAUGAGCCUAAGUCGGAUUAGCUAGUUGGUGGGGUAAAGGCCUACCAAGGCGACGAUCUGUAGCGGGUCUGAGAGGAUGAUCCGCCACACUGGGACUGAGACACGGCCCAGACUCCUACGGGAGGCAGCAGUGGGGAAUAUUGGACAAUGGGGGGAACCCUGAUCCAGCCAUGCCGCGUGUGUGAAGAAGGCCUUAUGGUUGUAAAGCACUUUAAGCGAGGAGGAGGCUACUCUAGUUAAUACCUAGGGAUAGUGGACGUUACUCGCAGAAUAAGCACCGGCUAACUCUGUGCCAGCAGCCGCAGUAA
rnacentral:rRNA from 1 species